rnacentral:rRNA from 1 species
AUUGGAUUAAUUAAAAUCUUAUGAUUAGUAAUUGAUGGUUAUAUAUAAUAAAGGAACUCGGCAAAUUAGGUUUCCGCCUGUUUAAUAAAAACAUCGCCUUUUAAUAGUAUAAAAGGUUAAUUCUGCUCAAUGCCUCUAGUAAAUAGCUGCAGUAUCUUAACUGUACUAAGGUAGCAUAAUAAUUUGGCCUUUAAUUGGGGUCUGGAAUGAAUGAAUUCACGAGAGACUAACUGUCUCUACUGUAAUAAAUGAAUUUUAUUUUUAAGUAAAAAAGCUUAAUUGAGAUGGAGGGACGACAAGACCCUAUAGAUCUUUACUACUCAAUAUAAACUAAAUGUAUUGGGAAGGUUGUCUGGGAUGGACCUAAAAAACGCUUAACUUUAGAUAGUCUAACAAUCAAUCAUUUUAAUUAAAUGAUCCUCUUAGAGAUAAAAAGAGAAAGUUACCUUAGGGAUAACAGCACAAUUAUCCCUAUUUAGACCAUUUAAAUAGUGAAGGUUGUGACCUCGAUGUUGAAUUAAGUUUACUGAUAAAUGUAGAAAGUUAUAAAGUUAGUCUGCUCGACUAUUUAAUACUUACAUGAUUUGAGUUUAGACCGACGUGAGUCAGGUCAGAUUCUAUCUUCCAUCAUUACUCCAUAUUUGUACGAAAGGACUCUAUGGGGGUUUAAUAUAAACUUUGGGGUUUUAGUUUAUUUAAAAAUUUACUCUUUGCAAGAGUGAGAUCUAUUAAGAAGCCUU